rnacentral:rRNA from 1 species
AUUGAACGCUGGCGGCAUGCCUUACACAUGCAAGUCGAACGGCAGCACGGGAGCAAUCCUGGUGGCGAGUGGCGAACGGGUGAGUAAUGUAUCGGAACGUACCUUUCAGUGGGGGAUAACGUAGCGAAAGUUACGCUAAUACCGCAUAUUCUGUGAGCAGGAAAGCAGGGGAUCGCAAGACCUUGCGCUGAUUGAGCGGCCGAUAUCAGAUUAGCUAGUUGGUGAGGUAAAGGCUCACCAAGGCGACGAUCUGUAGCGGGUCUGAGAGGAUGAUCCGCCACACUGGAACUGAGACACGGUCCAGACUCCUACGGGAGGCAGCAGUGGGGAAUAUUGGACAAUGGGCGCAAGCCUGAUCCAGCAAUGCCGCGUGUGUGAAGAAGGCCUUCGGUUGUAAGCACUUUAUCUAGACGAAAGACGACGGACGUAAUACUACUGUCGUGC